rnacentral:rRNA from 1 species
AGUGAACGCUGGCGGCAGGCCUAAUACAUGCAAGUCGAACGGCAGCACAGCAGAGCUUGCUCUGUGGGUGGCGAGUGGCGGACGGGUGAGGAAUACGUGGGAAUCUGCCCAGUCGUGGGGGAUAACGUAGGGAAACUUACGCUAAUACCGCAUGCGCCUUCGGGGAAAGCCGGGGACCUUCGGCCUGGCGCGAUUGGAUGAGCCCACGUCGGAUUAGCUAGUUGGCGGGGUAAAGGGCCCACCAAGGCGGCGAUCCGUAGCUGGUCUGAGAGGAUGAUCAGCCACACUGGAACUGAGACACGGUCCAGACUCCUACGGGAGGCAGCAGUAGGGAAUAUUGGACAAUGGGCGCAAGCCUGAUCCAGCCAUGCCGCGUGAGUGAAGAAGGCCCUCC